rnacentral:rRNA from 1 species
AAUAUUGCGCAAUGGGGGAAACCCUGACGCAGCAACGCCGCGUGGAGGAUGAAGGCCUUCGGGUUGUAAACUCCUGUCUUCGCUGACGAUAAUGACGGUAAGCGAGGAGGAAGCCACGGCUAACUACGUGCCAGCAGCCGCGGUAAUACGUAGGUGGCGAGCGUUGUCCGGAAUUACUGGGCGUAAAGGGUGCGUAGGCGGAAUCUUAAGUCAGAUGUGAAAUACCUGGGCUCAACCCGGGAAUGGCAUUUGAAACUGGGGUUCUAGAGUGCAGGAGAGGAAAGCGGAAUUCCUAGCGUAGCGGUGAAAUGCAUAGAUAUUAGGAGGAACACCAGUGGCGAAGGCGGCUUUCUGGACUGUAACUGACACUGAGGUACGAAAGCGUGGGGAGCAAACAGG